rnacentral:rRNA from 1 species
UACGAGGGGGGCGAGCGUUGUUCGGAAUUAUUGGGCGUAAAGGGUGCGUAGGCGGUUUGGUAAGUCUUAUGUGAAAUCUAUGGGCUCAACUCAUAGUCUGCAUGAGAAACUGCCGGGCUUGAGUAUGGGAGAGGUGAGUGGAAUUCCUGGUGUAGCGGUGAAAUGCGUAGAUAUCAGGAGGUACACCUGUGGCGAAAGCGGCUCACUGGACCAUAACUGACGCUGAUGCACGAAAGCUAGGGGAGCAAACAGG